AUUGAACGCUGGCGGAAUGCUUUACACAUGCAAGUCGAACGGCAGCACGGACUUCGGUCUGGUGGCGAGUGGCGAACGGGUGAGUAACAUAUCGGAACGUGUCCAAUAAUGGGGGAUAACUAAUCGAAAGGUUGGCUAAUACCGCAUACGCCCUACGGGGGAAAGCUAGGGACCUUCGGGCCUGGCGUUAAUGGAGCGGCCGAUAUCUGAUUAGCUAGUUGGUGGGGUAAAGGCCCACCAAGGCGACGAUCAGUAGCUGGUCUGAGAGGACGAACAGCCACACUGGAACUGAGACACGGUCCAGACUCCUACGGGAGGCAGCAGUGGGGAAUUUUGGACAAUGGGCGCAAGCCUGAUCCAGCCAUUCCGCGUGAGUGAAGAAGGCCUUCGGGUUGUAAAGCUCUUUCGCAAGGGAAGAAAACUUAGCCUCUAACAUAGGCUGAGGUUGACGGUACCUUGAUAAGAAGCACCGGCUAACUACGUGCCAGCCGCCGCGGUAA
rnacentral:rRNA from 1 species